rnacentral:rRNA from 1 species
UCUGACCUGCCCAUUGGAAAACUGAAAGGCCGCGGUAUUAUGACCGUGCAAAGGUAGCAUAAUCAUUAGUUUUUUAAUUGAAGGCUAGAAUGAAUGGUUGGACAAGAAAUAAUCUGUCUUAAAUUAAUAUAUUGAAUUUAACUUUUAAGUGAAAAGGCUUAAAUGAUCUAAGGGGACGAUAAGACCCUAUAAAACUUUAUAUUUUAAGGUGGAAAAUAAUUUUAUUUUAAAAUUACUAUUUUAAAUUAUUUUGUUGGGGCGACAAGGAUAUAAGAAAGGAUAACUGUCUUUUAUUUUUACAAUAAUAUUUGAAUUAUUGAUCCUAAAAGGGAUUAAAGAUUAAGUUACUUUAGGGAUAACAGCGUAAUUUUCUUUGAGAGUUCUUAUCGACAGAAAGUUUUGCGACCUCGAUGUUGAAUUAAAGGUUCUUUAUAGAGUAGAGACUAUAAGAGAAGGUCUGUUCGACCUUUAAAAUUUUACAUGAUUUGA